rnacentral:rRNA from 1 species
GGGUGGAGCGUGCGGUUUAAUUGGAUUCAACGCCGUAAAACUCACCGGGGGCGACGGUUAUAUGAAGGCCAAGCUGAUGACUUUGCCCAAUUUUCCGAGAGGUGGUGCAUGGCCGUCGUCAGUUCGUACCGUAAGGCGUUCUGUUAAGUCAGAUAACGAACAAGACCCCUACCGCCAAUUGCCACGCUGUCCUCCGGGACAGCAGCACAUUGUUGGGACCGCUGGUGCUAAACCAGAGGAAGGAGGGGGCAACGAUAGGUCAGUAUGCCCCGAAUCCCCCGGGCUACACGCGCGCUACAAAGGCCAGGACAAUGGGCUCCUACCCCGAGAGGGGAAGGCAAUCCCGAAACCUGGUCAUAGUCCGGAUUGAGGGCUGUAACUCGCCCUCAUGAAGCUGGAAUCCGUAGUAAUCGCGGAUCAACAUUCCGCGGUGAAUAUGCCCCUGCUCCUUGCACACACCGCCCGUCAAACCAUCUGAGUUGGGUCUGAGUGAGGGUACCCUUUCUGGGGUGCUCGAACUUAGGUUCAGCAAGGAGGGUUAAGUCGUAACAAGGUAUCCGUA